CCUACGGGGGGCAGCAGUGGGGAAUAUUGCACAAUGGGGGAAACCCUGAUGCAGCGACGCCGCGUGAGUGAGGAAGUAUUUCGGUAUGUAAAGCUCUAUCAGCAGGGAAGAAAAUGACGGUACCUGACUAAGAAGCCCCGGCUAACUACGUGCCAGCAGCCGCGGUAAUACGUAGGGGGCAAGCGUUAUCCGGAUUUACUGGGUGUAAAGGGAGCGUAGACGGGUAAUCAAGUCAGAAGUGAAAACCCAGGGCUCAACCUUGGGAGUGCUUUUGAAACUGAGUAGCUAGAGUGCAGGAGAGGUAAGCGGAAUUCCUAGUGUAGCGGUGAAAUGCGUAGAUAUUAGGAAGAACACCAGUGGCGAAGGCGGCCGCCUGGCCUGUUGCUGACGCUGAGGCACGAAAGCGUGGGGAGCAAAUAGGAUUAGAUACCCUAGUAGUC
rnacentral:rRNA from 1 species